AGCAGUAGCCGCGGUAAUACGAAGGGGGCUAGCGUUGCUCGGAAUUACUGGGCGUAAAGGGAGCGUAGGCGGACAUUUAAGUCAGGGGUGAAAUCCCAGAGCUCAACUCUGGAACUGCCUUUGAUACUGGGUGUCUUGAGUGUGAUAGAGGUAUGUGGAACUCCGAGUGUAGAGGUGAAAUUCGUAGAUAUUCGGAAGAACACCAGUGGCGAAGGCGACAUACUGGAUCAUUACUGACGCUGAGGCUCGAAAGCGUGGGGAGCAAACAGGAUUAGAUACCCGCGUAGUCCCUGUCUCUUAUAC
rnacentral:rRNA from 1 species